GCGCCCGUAGCUCAAAGGUUAGAGUGGCCGGCUUAUAUCCGGUUGAUCCUGGUUCGAGUCCAGGCGGGCGUA
rfam:Candidatus Kaiserbacteria bacterium RIFCSPHIGHO2_02_FTLL_55_25 rifcsphigho2_02_scaffold_14609, whole genome shotgun sequence.